rnacentral:lncRNA from 1 species
GUUUCCUGCUGGGGGUGGCUGGGUCCCUGUGUUGGGCCCAGGGGAUGCUGAGGCUCCCUGCAGAGAGCUCUCAGCUGGACCCCCUUCCUGCAGACACCCAGAGCCCCCCCUUGAAUCCUGGUCCCUUGGAGGCUGGGGACGUGCAGACAGACCACCUGGCGCUGCAGGACCGACUCUGGCAGAAGCGCCUGCUGGAGUCUCUCCUGUCCCUUCCCCACCCCACCUGUGCAAAUGGCAGCCUCUGACCCCAACAGGAGACAAGCGUGUGCAGAGCAGAGCCCUGGUCCUCAGAGCCACCAGGCUGCAGCUGCAGGGGCACGAAGGAGGUGCAGGGAGCCCCAGCAAGCCCGGCCCCCAACUCCAGGAGGGCCCUGGGUGGGCUGCGCCUCACCUGCCAUCACGCAGCCCGAGGUGGUGCAGACCUCCGAAGGCGAGGACUCUUUGAUGGCUGCCAGCAAGGGGUGGUGUGAGUGCCCGGGAGUACGGGUGGUCAGGCUGGGUGGGGCCCGUCCUCACCACCCCAGAGCCGGUCUAGCCUCAGCCUCAAGGCAUUUCUGCAGCACAGCCCAGGGCUUCUCCAAGGGCAGCUUGGAUGACCCGUGAGUGACCCAGGGCCCCUUUUACAUCCCCUGCCCCCACUGGCCCUGCAGUGGCCAGGCCCCUGAGGCUGACGCUGGCCAUGCCUUCCUGCCUCCAUUGUCGGGGACCUGCUCCUCCAGGUGCCCCCUGUGCUGUCCCCACCCUGCCCUUGUCCCAGCUGGACGCCUCAUAGGCAGUGCCCAGUGGCUCCCCAGCACCCAGCUCUGACCCAGCAGGUGCUCAAGGUUGGCGUCCCUGGACUGUCCUCUCUUCCCCCACACCCCUCCUGCACCCACGCGCGGCUCCUGGCCCUCCAGGGAGACCCCGCCCCGUGGCAGGCGCGGUUGCCGAGCCCACCUCCUUGGGGCUGUCUGGCAGGGAAGGCAAAGGCUACCUCGGGGUUUUCGUUUUAUGGUGGUCGUCUCUUCCUGGGAGAAGUACAGCCAGCUAGUAAAGGGGGGCAGCUGCUUCCCUGGGGAGAGACACACGCUCAGCUGGCCUCCAGCCUCGGCCUCCAAAGGACAGCACCAGUGUCCCUGCAGGGCCGGUUCUGCAGCCCCCCCCCCCAGUGAAGGAUGGUCACCAGGGAACCGGAUGGCCAGCACAGGACAGAACUGUCUUCCUCUGUCUGCUUCCUGCUGGGCCUUAGCAGGAGGCAGACCCCUGGCUUGCUAGCCCCACCCUGGCCUGUUCCACCCAACAGGCUCCAUCUAUUGGGCAGCUCCUGGAGUCCCACCAGGGAGGCACCCUAGACCCUUCCUAGGGAGGUGACCCCUACCCUGGAAGCCUCCUCUCUGGCCCCUGCACCCUCUUGCACCCCCUCUGCUGAAGGUUCAGGCCACCCUCCCCUCCUCUCCAGUACAUGCAGGGGUCAGCACGGGGUCUUCUGAGAGGACUGUCAAUUGUCUGGAGGGGAGUGUGGGGGACAGAAGGUGGAACCCCAGGUUUGGGGAGAGGGUGAGCCAGGCCUGGCCUCUCAGAUCUGGCUUGGGGUUCCAUUUCCCCACCCAAGAGGCAGCAGACCUGGGGAGGGGGAACAGGGGCUGCUCUGCUCAGCCUGAGCACAGAGAUGGCACACAAGGUGCUGGGGCUGGGAACUCGUCCGGUGCUCCUGGUCCCACCAUUCAGGAGCCAGUGAUCCAACUCGGAGGGCUGCACUAGGGCGUCCCUCUGGUGGCCACAGGAGAAGGCUCUGCAAGCCCCAGCAGCAGAGGAAGUGACCAUUCAAAUGCAAACCCGAGCUUGGAGGGAAGAGGCCAGAAAAUGAGCUGUGACUGCUUCACAGGUGCUUGCUGAUCUCAGGAACCCGAGCCUGGGGGAGACUCUGGACCUCAGGAGGCCCCUGUGAAAGAGUGGACUGAAGGACAUGUGACCUCCAGGGUUAGGGUGUGGCUGUGGUGUCGCCCCAGGCUCACGGGUGAGACAUGCCAGAAAGGUCUGGAGGAGAGAUGACAGGGCGACACCUUAACCCAGCCAGCGACUGACUCCCUGGCGGGACUGACUGAGGGUACUGGAGGCCAGAGGGGUGUGGCUGGA